UGGCGCGAUUGUUGCACGUUAAGAAACACGACUCCCGACAUGCCGUUCGUGUGAAAAUGGCAGCGAAGCAAAUACCAUUUGGGCGAUGAAGAAGACUCUCAAAAUUGUUGCUACUAUGGGAUUUAUCAGAGGCUGGAGUUGGGAGACUCGCAAGAUCCUUACAGCACGUUCCGGCUUUAAAGGAGAAAGAUGUUCUUACUUUAUUAAUUGAGCAAUAAUGGAUGCUAUGAUGAUGAUGAAGAUGAAGUGAACCAGAGCCCAAGUGAUCAGGAUGUAGCAGCAGUCUUAAUGCUAUGAUUGUUUUACUUUGCAAUCCAACUGCUGAAUGAACAAGGAUUCUAGGCAAAGGUCACUCGUUUAUCACUUUUAUUACUGACGUCUGACAGAUGGACAUGUGACUGGUCUAAAAUCAAGCCAGUGGACAAGGAAUUGGAUUGAAAUCAAAGUGGAAAAUGGACAAGUGGCUGGAUUUAAAUCAAGUUUACAUGUUUUAAAGGUAGAAUCUUGAAUUGGGACAGUUUGGAGAUAAACGUUCAUAGGCUGCGAAGCUGCACUUUAAACGCAAUAUUUUUUUUCUAGUUACAAAUCAAUUUUAAGAGUUUGGGAUGAAAAUUUGCGAUUUAUCAAACAAAUUUGAUUGGAUUCGUUUUCAAAAAUUAUCAGCCUCUCAGGCAGGAAUUUUGUUUUAAUUUAGCUUUUUCGUCUUCUUCGAUUAUUCACUGGCCAGAUUUAAGUUUUCAAAUGACGUUUGUUUCAAAACUGGCCUCAGUGAGGACUUUCUCAAUAUCGUUUAAGCAUCAAGACACAGAAUUAUGAAAACAAACUGAACAAACCGAUUAAAAUUGCGGUUUUUUCAAAUACGAGCUAGCAGUCCUUACAAUAACGAAUGACGUAAAUUAUCUACCUUUAAAAAACAAAUCCCGGAAAGUUUUCAAAAUAAUUGGAGAACUAAGUGAGAUCAAAAUGUUUUGGAUAAAUCACGAGAAUAAACGACGAAAGAAGGAAUUUGUGGAUAUGAAUUUUCAGAGUUUUGUUCACAAGGUCACGAUUACUAAAUGUAAACUGUCUUCCGCGGUCGUAUUCAGUCCUGAAGGAAUUUUAUCUCUUGUUUUUGGUAUUAAGCAUCGUUCAGACGGCACUUUUAUACACAAUUUGUGACUCGUGAAAAUGUCCGUAUUUCAAAUCUUUGAUCUGUUUUAUCCAAAAGUAAAAAGUGUAUACUGUGCACCUUCGCUUUUGUUUUUUAAAGAUAAAUAUUCAGUUUCAUAUCUAUUAAGAAAAACAAUCACCUGAUUACAAUUCCGAGUCAAAGUUUAGCUAUUUUUGCGAAACUCAAUAAUUUUUUUUAUUCUAUCACCCCGCGAGUAUGUUUUUUUGUCAUUUUUCUUUGCCUUCCAAGCCCCUAUCAAAAUUGUUUAAUUUUCCCGCCAAAAAACUAAGGAAAAAUACGGGCGCUUGAAACACGCAUGCGCCAUUUUUUUUUUGUUUUGAAAACUCUGUAAGUAACAUCCUUUCAAAAAGAUUCAGUUUUGGAAAAAAUACAGGCGCCCAAAAUGCGCAUGCGCCGUCUUUUUUUUUUUUUAGAGUGUAAAUAAAAUGAAUUUGUUAGUUUUCUCACUUGAUGUAUAUUAUUUAAUAGAGAUCAAUAAACACUGCAAUGUGCAUUUUUUCAUGUCUUUAUUUCGUUCAAUAAAUUACAAGUAACUUUCAAGUGUUCUUUAAUUAGUUAAGUGAUUUCCAUUAAAUAUCAAGAAAAACACGUUUAAAUACAUACUAAGACUUUUGGCGGGAAAAUGUGGAGCAAUUUGCACAAAGUUUCCCCGGAUAACAUUUUCGACAAAAAAUUCAAAAUGGUUUCCCUUGAAAUUUUCCGCCAAAAGAUGAACAGAACCUCGUACAAAACUUUCUUCGAAAAAUGGUUGCCCAGUUUCAGCAUUUUAUUUUAAGAAUAAAGUCUUGUACAAGGUUGUUUGUUUGCAUUUUUUUUUUCGGCCACCUUCGACAAGGCACAAAAUACAAAGAUUUUAGUCUUUCCGAAGAAAAUAUUUCCAUCAAAUAAUGAAAAGUGGGUUGUGGAUUCUCAAAAAGCUACUUUAAGAAGUUUCUACCGAUCAGUUCGAAUGUAGCCGUCUGUAUUUUGCCCAGUGUUUACAUACCACGAAGGAAAUGGCGAAAAAAUUAGUUAAAUAACGGGGCAAGUUAAAAUAUUUUACUGAAGUUGACUCAAAAUAAAAUUCGUCUCUUAAUUUUUAUCAAAAUCCACCAAACAGACUGAAAUUUUCAAAUUGUAUCUCAAGUUAACAUUGACUUGCCAUGUUCCUCAAGAUUAUACCUGCACACCGUAAGUAAAGAGGCGAGACAACUCUGUUCCAAAUUAUUCUGCUCUUAGCUUGGUAGGAUAUCAAGACAAUUCGUCCGUGUUCGAUUAGGAUUUUGUUUUACAAAGCCGGGAGAAUUUAAAAUAAUUGGAAAUUCCUUGUUGAUAAUAUCAAUGGUUGUCGAUACAAUUGUCUGAAUGUUUUUUUGGUAGAAAUUCCGAGGUCUGUGGUCAUCAUUAAUCAACAAUUGUCAGUUUUGCUUUAAUUUGGAAUAUAUAGUUAUGACAAUUCAUGAAUGCACAGUACAAGUUUUGAUUAACACGAAAGAAUUUAUUAAAUUAAAUUCCCCAAAGGAUUUUUAAUCACUGGUGGUUAAUUUGAAUAUUAUAUUUUUGUAUCGAAAAGAUGUCUUGCAACGUUACCUCCAAACCUAUACUAGUCGCUCUCAUUUGGGGAUUCGCAUGUACUGUAAUCCUUUUUUAAGCCCGAGAGAAUUCAUCUAUUUGGAUAGUAAUUUUCAUAGUUUGCCAAUCUUAAAAUCUUUGUUUGGUUACUGCUUCAGAUAGAUGUCUCGCCUCUUUCUCUUCCAGUAUGUAGGAACAUCAACUAACAUAACCAAUAUAGUUCUCAAAAAAUUAAAUGCUGGUCCCUGUAUCAUUUUUUUUUUGCAGCACCGAGAGUUCAAAUUCUCUAUCAUUUUACUUGUCUAAUUAUUCGAAAUGUCAAAUUAUGAUGUUAGUUUGUUUGGAAAG